AUUGAACGCUGGCGGCAUGCCUUACACAUGCAAGUCGAACGGUAACGGGCCUUCGGGUGCCGACGAGUGGCGAACGGGUGAGUAAUGCAUCGGAACGUACCUUUCAGUGGGGGAUAACGUAGCGAAAGUUACGCUAAUACCGCAUAUUCUGUGAGCAGGAAAGCAGGGGAUCGCAAGACCUUGCGCUUUGGGAGCGGCCGAUGUCGGAUUAGCUAGUUGGUGGGGUAAAGGCCUACCAAGGCGACGAUCCGUAGCGGGUCUGAGAGGAUGAUCCGCCACACUGGGACUGAGACACGGCCCAGACUCCUACGGGAGGCAGCAGUGGGGAAUUUUGGACAAUGGGCGGAAGCCUGAUCCAGCCAUGCCGCGUGAGUGAAGAAGGCCU
rnacentral:rRNA from 1 species